rnacentral:rRNA from 1 species
UGGGGAAUAUUGCACAAUGGAGGGAACUCUGAUGCAGCGACGCCGCGUGAACGAAGAAGGCUUUCGAGUCGUAAAGUUCUUUUAUAUGGGAAGAUAAUGACGGUACCAUAAGAAAAAGCCCCGGCUAACUACGUGCCAGCAGCCGCGGUAAUACGUAGGGGGCUAGCGUUGUCCGGAAUCACUGGGCGUAAAGGGUUCGCAGGCGGGAAUGCAAGUCAGGUGUAAAAGGCAGUAGCUUAACUACUGUAAGCAUUUGAAACUGCAUAUCUUGGAAAGAGUAGGGGUAAGUGGGAUUUUUAGUGUAGCGGUGGAAUGCGUAAAUAUUAAGAAGAAUACCGGUGGCGAAGGCGACUUACUGGGCUCAUUCUGACGCUGAGGAACGAAAACGUGGGUAGCAGACAGG